AUAACCUUUAGUUCUUCUGCCGACUAUGUGUGAUUGCGAAUGUGUUUUUUAAAGAUUAACUAUCAUUUAUUUAUAGAUGACUGAUAUACUCAAAUUACAUCAAGCAACUCUAUCAAAUAAUAUUGACAUCAUAGUACCUGAGGAUCUUAUCCACAUAUACUCAAUAUUUUACACAAUAGACUUUAGUUUCAGAUUAAACUAUACAGUAAAUAAGAAAGCAGUAAACAACAUAGAGUAAAUG
rnacentral:lncRNA from 1 species